rnacentral:rRNA from 1 species
UACGUAGGGUGCAAGCGUUAUCCGGAAUCACUGGGCGUAAAGAGCUCGUAGGCGGCUUGGUCAGUCGCAUGUUAAAGACCCGGGCUCAACUCGGGGAAUGCGUGCGAUACUGCCUGGCUAGAGAGCGGGAGAGGAAAGUAGAAUUCCUGGUGUAGCGGUGAAAUGCAUAGAUAUCAGGAAGAAUACCCGUGGCGAAGGCGGCUUUCUGGACCGUUUCUGACGCUGAGGAGCGAAAGCCAGGGGAGCGAACGGG